rnacentral:rRNA from 1 species
GUGCCAGCAGCCGCGGUAAUACAACGCGUUGGGGUGCUUUCCCAUAUGGUGGACCUGCAGGCGGCCGCGAAUUCACUAGUGAUGAUGUGAAAGUCCAGGGCUCAACCGUGGAAUUGCAUUUGAAACUGUGCUACUUGAGUGCAGGAGAGGGAGAGCGAUUUCCUAGUGUAGCGGUGAAAUGCGUAGAGAUUUAGGAAGAACACCAGUGGCGAAGGCGGCUCUCUGGACUGUAACUGACGCUGAGGCGCGAAAGCGUGGGUAGCGAACAGGAUUAGAUACCCUGGUAGUCCACGCCGUAAACGAUGAGUGCUAGGUGUUGGGGGUCGAACCUCAGUGCCCGCAGUUAACACAUUAAGCACUCCGCCUGGGGAGUACGACCGCAAGGUUGAAACUCAAAGGAAUUGACGGGGGCCCGCACAAGCAGCGGAGCAUGUGGUUUAAUUCGAAGCAACGCGAAGAACCUUACCAGGACUUGACAUCGCUUGAGAAUCCAAGAGAUUGGACUUUUCCUUCGGGAACAAGUAGACAGGUGGUGCAUGGUUGUCGUCAGCUCGUGUCGUGAGAUGUUGGGUUAAGUCCCGCAACGAGCGCAACCCUUGUAUUUAGUUGCCAUCAGGUGAAGCUGGGCACUCUAGAUAGACUGCCGUAGAGAAUACGGAGGAAGGUGGGGAUGACGUCAAAUCAUCAUGCCCCUUAUGUCCUGGGCUACACACGUGCUACAAUGGUCUGUACAAAGGGAAGCGAAGGAGUGAUCCGGAGCCAAUCCCGAAAAGCAGAUCCCAGUUCGGAUUGCAGGCUGCAACUCGCCUGCAUGAAGUCGGAGUUGCUAGUAAUCGCGGAUCAGCAUGCCGCGGUGAAUGCGUUCCCGGGCCUUGUACACACCGCCCGUCACACCACGAGAGUUGGCAACACCCGAAGUCAGUGAGCUAACCGUAAGGAGGCAGCUGCCGAAGGUGGGGUUGGAGACUGGGGUGAAGUCGUAACAAGGUAACC